CGGAGGAAAGAAACUAACAAGGAUUCCCCUAGUAACUGCGAGUGAAGCGGGAAGAGCUCAAAUUUGUAAUCGCUUCGGCGAGUUGUAAACUAGAGAAGCGUUAUCAGGCCCCGACCGCGCUAAAGUCCCUUGGAACAGGGUGUCAUAGAGGGUGAGAAUCCCGUGCUUGGCGUGGCUGCGGGGCUGUAGAGGCGCUCUCGACGAGUCGAGUUGUUUGGGAAUGCAGCUCAAAAUGGGUGGUAAACUCCAUCUAAAGCUAAAUAGUGGCGAGAGACCGAUAGCGAACAAGUACCGUGAGGGAAAGAUGAAAAGGACUUUGGAAAGAGAGUUAAACAGUACGUGAAAUUGCUGAAAGGGAAGCGCUUGGAGUAAGUCGCGUGUGCAGGAAUCAGCUCGCGCAUUUCCUGCYCACGGGCCAGCAUCGACCUCGGGCGGCGGAGAAGGGCUGGAGGAAUGUGGCAUCUUCGGGUGUGUUAUAGCCUCCUGCCGUACACGUCGCGCGGGGUCGAGGACCGCGGCUYUGCCUAGGAUGCUGGCGUAAUGGCUUCAAGCGACC
rnacentral:rRNA from 1 species